rnacentral:rRNA from 1 species
UACGGAGGGUGCAAGCGUUAUCCGGAUUCACUGGGUUUAAAGGGUGCGUAGGUGGGCAGGUAAGUCAGUGGUGAAAUCUCUGGGCUUAACCCAGAAACUGCCGUUGAUACUAUCUGUCUUGAAUGUAGUGGAGGUGAGCGGAAUAUGUCAUGUAGCGGUGAAAUGCUUAGAUAUGACAUAGAACACCAAUUGCGAGGGCAGCUCGCUACACUACUAUUGACACUGAGGCACGAAAGCGUGGGGAUCAAACAGG